AGUUAAUCAGUUCACAAACAUAUAUUUUGAAAAUAUAAAAGAGAAGAUAAUACUUCUAUUAACUU
rnacentral:tRNA from 1 species